rnacentral:rRNA from 1 species
AUUUUUCGUAGAGAAGGAAGGCAAAUAUGUUCAGAACAUGUGAAGCACCAGAUUUUUCAUAGAGAAGGAAGGCAAAUAUGUUCAGGACAUGUGGAGCACCAGACACGUCCCAUCAAUGAAGUAAGGAAUCGUUAUAUGGUUUCUUCUAACGAGGCGAACCAUCUUGAUGCCUAUUCGGAAAUUAGACUGGUGAUUGGAGAUGGGGAGUGUUUCUACAGGAGCUUCAUAUUUUCCUACCUAGAGCAAGUUAUUGAUAGGCAGGACACAGACGAGGAACAUCGUCUCCUUCAUGUUGUUGAAAGAAUGUCUGUGCAACAUGCAAAUCUUGGAUGGAACUCUGAGUUUUCCAGGACCAGCAGAGCAUUUGAGGAGCUGAUUGAGAAAGUAAUGAGAUGGAAGGGCACGGAAUCAACUAGCAGUUGCCGUAAAGAGGAACUUCUCCAGUUCUUCAGCACGUAUGAGAAGACGCAAGACAUUUUUGCUUUCCUCAGAUUACUAGUAGCUAUCCAUAUAUGCUCGCACAGUGAGGAGUAUGUACCGCAUAUACCAGAGGUCGAUGAAGGAAAUUGCAGUCUGGAAGUUUGGUGCUUUGAGCAAGUCAUUCCAGCUCGUGUGGACGCGGACCAUGUUAUGUUGGUGGCUUUGGCCACAGCACUUGAGGUCCCCCUCAGAACGGAAUCAUUCCAACAAGGAUAUGCUCGAGAUAUCUACACGGGUCCUGGAUUUCCCCGUCCGAAUGUGACCCUGCUGUACACGGGAAAUCACUACAACAUCAUCUACCCACGUGCUCCUUCUGCUGAGAGUUCAAGUCAUCAGGCUUCCAAGAGAGAAGAUCCUGCUGAUCAGAGUUCAAGUCAUCAGGCUUCCCAGAGAGAAGAGCCUGCUGGUCAGAGUUGA